UACGUAGGGUGCAAGCGUUAAUCGGAAUUACUGGGCGUAAAGCGUGCGCAGGCGGUUUUGUAAGUCUGACGUGAAAUCCCCGGGCUCAACCUGGGAAUUGCAUUUGAAACUGGGGAACUAGAGUGUGUGAGAGGGGGGUAGAAUUCCAAGUGUAGCGGUGAAAUGCGUAGAGAUUUGGAGGAAUACCAGUGGCGAAGGCGGCCCCCUGGGUCAAGAUUGACGCUCAUGCACGAAAGCGUGGGGAGCAAACAGG
rnacentral:rRNA from 1 species